UACAGAGGGUGCGAGCGUUGUCCGGAAUCACUGGGCGUAAAGGGCGCGUAGGCGGCGCGGUAAGCGUGCGGUGAAAGCCCGGGGCUCAACCCCGGGUCGGCCGUGCGGACUGCCGGGCUGGAGCACUGUAGAGGCAGGUGGAAUUCCGGGUGUAGCGGUGGAAUGCGUAGAGAUCCGGAAGAACACCGGUGGCGAAGGCGGCCUGCUGGGCAGUGGCUGACGCUGAGGCGCGACAGCGUGGGGGAGCAAACAGG
rnacentral:rRNA from 1 species